rnacentral:rRNA from 1 species
AACGAACGCUGGCGGCAUGCCUAACACAUGCAAGUCGAACGAGACCUUCGGGUCUAGUGGCGCACGGGUGCGUAACGCGUGGGAACCUGCCCUUAGGUUCGGAAUAACUCCCCGAAAGGGGUGCUAAUACCGGAUAAUGUCUUCGGACCAAAGAUUUAUCGCCUUUGGUUGGGCCCGCGUUGGAUUAGCUAGUUGGUAGGGUAAAAGCCUACCAAGGUGACGAUCCAUAGCUGGUCUGAGAGGAUGAUCAGCCACACUGGGACUGAGACACGGCCCAGACUCCUACGGGAGGCAGCAGUGGGGAAUAUUGGACAAUGGGCGAAAGCAUGAACCAGCAAGGACGGGUGAGUGAUGAAGGCCUUAGGGUUGUAAAGCUCUUUUACCCGGGAUGAUAAUGACAGUACCGGGUGAAUAAGCUCCGGCUAACUCCGUG